rnacentral:tRNA from 1 species
AAUCCAAUUUUUCAAUCGUGAGGGUUCAAGUCCCUCUAUCCCCA